UAGGGAAUCUUCCGCAAUGGGCGCAAGCCUGACGGAGCAACGCCGCGUGUGUGAAGAAGGUCUUCGGAUCGUAAAGCACUGUUGUUAGAGAAGAACGACCGCUAGAGUAACUGUUAGCGGAGUGACGGUAUCUAACCAGAAAGCCACGGCUAACUACGUGCCAGCAGCCGCGGUAAUACGUAGGUGGCAAGCGUUGUCCGGAUUUAUUGGGCGUAAAGGGAGCGCAGGCGGUGACUUAAGUCUGAUGUGAAAGCCCACGGCUCAACCGUGGAGGGUCAUUGGAAACUGGGUCACUUGAGUGCAGAAGAGGAAAGUGGAAUUCCAUGUGUAGCGGUGAAAUGCGUAGAUAUAUGGAGGAACACCAGUGGCGAAGGCGACUUUCUGGUCUGUAACUGACGCUGAGGCUCGAAAGCGUGGGGAGCAAACAGG
rnacentral:rRNA from 3 species